rnacentral:rRNA from 1 species
UGGGGAAUAUUGGACAAUGGGCGAAAGCCUGAUCCAGCCAUGCCGCGUGAGUGAUGAAGGCCCUAGGGUUGUAAAGCUCUUUCACCGGUGAAGAUAAUGACGGUAACCGGAGAAGAAGCCCCGGCUAACUUCGUGCCAGCAGCCGCGGUAAUACGAAGGGGGCUAGCGUUGUUCGGAAUUACUGGGCGUAAAGCGCACGUAGGCGGACUAUUAAGUCAGGGGUGAAAUCCCGGGGCUCAACCCCGGAACU